ACAGCAGUCGCCGCGGGAAUACGAAGGGUGCAAGCGUUAAUCGGAAUUACUGGGCGUAAAGCGCGCGUAGGUGGUUUGGUAAGAUGGAUGUGAAAUCCCCGGGCUCAACCUGGGAACUGCAUCCAUAACUGCCUGACUAGAGUACGGUAGAGGGUGGUGGAAUUUCCUGUGUAGCGGUGAAAUGCGUAGAUAUAGGAAGGAACACCAGUGGCGAAGGCGACCACCUGGACUGAUACUGACACUGAGGUGCGAAAGCGUGGGGAGCAAACAGGAUUAGAUACCCCCGUAGUCCCUGUCUCUUAUAC
rnacentral:rRNA from 1 species